GGGGGGGGGGGGGGGGGGGGCUGGCGGGGGGAGGUCGGGGGGUUGGGGGCGGUAGAGAGGGGGGGGCGGGGGGGGAACGGGGGGGGAGGCUGCCCAGGACACACGUAUAGCAUACCGAAAGGUAUGCUAAUACAGGGUAAUAUGCCUGUAUCGCCUGGUAGAAGUAUCAACGCUUUUGCGGUACAAGAUGGACCCGCGUCUGCUUAGCUAGUUGGUGAGGUAACGGCUCACCAAGGCGACGAACAGUAGCCGAACUGAGAGGGUGAUCGGCCACAUUGGAACUGAGACACGGUCCAAACUCCUACGGGAGGCAGCAGUGGGGAAUAUUGCACAAUGGGCGAAAGCCUGAUGCAGCAACGCCGCGUGAGCGAUGAAGGCCUUCGGGUCGUAAAGCUCUGUCCUCAAGGAAGAUAAUGACGGUACUUGAGGAGGAAGCCCCGGCUAACUACGUG
rnacentral:rRNA from 1 species